CUCUAAAAAAGCUUUUAAAACAAAAUUUCUUCAUUCUUCAUAGGAAUUCACGAAGGGGGAGACCCAAUACUUAUUGAUACUCCGUACUCCGUAUGAAGCCCACAAGUCCAAAGUAAGAAAUUAUCCGAAGCUUCCAGGAAAUUGAAAUUUUAGUUGGAAUUUCAAAAUUUGAGGGGGAAAUUUCCUAAUUUUAUCAAAUUUUCCCGCUAAAAGUCCCGCAUUAUUUGCGAUAUGGUAACUGCAAUUAGGUUUUAUUCUUCUUCCCUUGACUGCCUAACUCGGUAACUCCUCCUAAUCCCCUAUGCACCUAUCCUCAAAAAAAAUUGGGAAAAGAACAUACCUCACGCACGAAAGUGUUGAUCGAUAAGCGUCGCCGAUACGAAGAUAAACGCUAAUUGUAGUUUUGGAAUUGAGGGAUGGAAAGGUGCAUCCGCUUACUUUCAUUCAUCAUAUAUCAACCUAUCAUGCGUCAAUCUCCAAAGUAAUGGAGUACUAGUGAUCUUACUUCUGCUAUAUAUUAAGGCUCUCGAAGACCGUCUUCGAGAAAAUGAAGACUGCCAGGAGCCAAGUUACGCUGAGAGAUGCAAUUCUAGUAUUCUACAUAGAUUGCAAGCCAAAGGUGUAGGGAAACAGGGUGUUCGUUGCAGUCAAGUUUUAUUCGUUGAAGACCUUAUGGUCCUUAUCUACUGUAAUAGGUUCUUAGAGUUCUUUUUAGGUAUUUUUACCGUAAUUGACUAUGGUUGGCUUUGCUAAUAGUUGUAUUGUUUUUUCUUGUGUUUGUAUAGCUUGUAUUUCUUUAGGCUAGGUUAGUCUUUCUUUAUGGCUUGCAAAGUGUUAUCUGAAUAGGUGUUUGUUUGUUUUAGCUUGUACAAACAAUAUUUCUUUUGGGUUUAAUAUAAUGAUCAUUUACCCAAAAAAUAA